rnacentral:lncRNA from 1 species
AUGAUGACGUAUCUCUGCGAUGCACAGCUGCGGGGUUUAGCCACGGGCCUGCUUCUCUGCACUGGCUGCGCACAAACUGUGUGCGUGUGUGUGCGUGCACGUUUUUAUCUGUCCGCUGAGUGUUGCACGAGCAAAAUCUUCACUUUGACACAAGCGUCGUUUCAGUUUGAGGCCGCUGUGCACACUGUGAACACAGAAGCCUGCGCGCCACGGAUCCUUCCUGCUGCACGUAAAGAGGCGACCGUGACAACAACUGCACGCGAGCCGCGUUCAGGGCUCCGUUCUCUCGGUCUAAAAAAAUUUUUUUUAAAAGCGGCGGGGCCGGGAGGAAAAUGUUGCGUUAGCUGCGAAGCGGCUCUCACCUGGAUCCCCAGCUAUGUGGAGGGAGCGCCUUCACACUACAGAGAGGCUCAUUCUUCCCAGAGACCUGGCAAAGCCGUCGAUCCUCAUAACUGUUUCUCUGCAGCCAUUUUGAACCAAACCGUCGACUUGAUCCAGCGCGGGGGUGGCGUGGACACGACCGACUUGCUCAGUCGAUUCAUUUUGGAAAAGUACGAGGCCCAAAAGGAUAAAAUGGAAUAUUUGAAAGAGGUGUCAAGGCACCAGUCAACCACAAGGCUUCCACACUGGACUGAACGAGGCAUAUGGCAACGGGGACACAUACUGAACAUUGCAAUAAAUGCCAUGAGGACGUGUACUCACUGCCCUUCAAGGAUAUGAAAGAGAGCUGCUUUUUUUCCCCCUCCUGUAACCCUUGAUGAAACACUGAGAAGCAUACGCGUGGCUGUGUUUUGAGCUCUGGGCCGUAUGAGCGGGGAGCUGCUUCUUCUUCUUUUUUUUACCCGCACAUCGAGGUCUUAACUAUAGAAAAAGUAGUUGUGGCAUCCCUACUUUGUGAUCAAUACGAGGAUCUUUAGCUCAUGGCCAAAUAGAAUUAAGAAUUGCUUUAGGAUAAUGACAGUAUCGACCAGCGCUCAGUAAAGCGUUUCAGGCUGUGGCAGGUUAAUUCCCAUCUAUGAAGGUGUAAAGGGAGCCAGUCAGAGUCAGCUCUGACGGUCAAAGCAAUUCUCCUCUGCACGCAACUACUUUCCCCUCCCGUACCACACAGGCAUUUUAAGCUACUGCAAUAUAAUUUAUGACCUAUUCUUUGGAAACUAAGACAUUUGAGAGUCUCUAUGCCAUCACAGAAAUGGAGAAAAUGUUGGCAAAAGCUACGUUUGCAUAGACCACAGUAGUAAAAUCCAAACUACUGCAAGGUUAUAGAAUAAUUUAUCCUCUCCAUUGGCAUGUGCCUACAUAUCCGAAAAACCCGAAAGUCCUCAGGCGAAUCACGGAUGACAUGUCAUGAAUUACACGUCAAUAUGAGUUAUGGCGAGAUCAGGCUACAAAACAUUAAGCCUGACACUGUAAUAUACCAUAAUGACACAAUUACAGUCCAGAAAAAAAAGGGUAAGGUAAAACAAUCGUAGGAAAGAAUUAGCUCUUUUUGCAUUUAAAAACAACCAGUUCCUCUUAAAACACGAAGGAUUAUGGCAAAAAUACGAACAAAGUGGUAUAACUUGUAGCCUCUUGACCCUUUUCUGUGCCGAUAAAUAUUUUUAAAGCAAGCUCCUUUGAGUGAGCAUUGCUCCUUGCAUAUUUCCUCUGUGAAUAAAACUAAUUUACCUUGCUCAUUGUGUGAGACGCUGAGGUGUUUUGAUGUUUGGAGAUGAAAAUGCUUUGAGAUGAAAUAUUCAUUUUUUUUUUUUUUUAGUUGGCUUAAUUAUGUAUGUGUCCACUGUCAAGUUGAAAACUGCUGCUCCUGUGAGGGAUGUUUCAAGCGUACCUUUUUGCCACUGGCGCAGAAUACAUUACCUCCUUAUUACAGGAAUUGCCUGGAACACACUCAUAUGCAACCUUAUGGAAAUAUUAAAUGAAGAGGCUGCACACCUCAGUAGGCACACUGAAUAAGCAUGAGCAUUAUGAUGGUGAUUCAUAAUGUGAAUGUUGGGCUGAUGGUCGUUUUUUUAUUUUUGACGUCAUCCAUUGUUUUAGCGCAGACAAAGAGCAUUUGCCUACCUGUACAGUUUGUUCUUUAAUUUAAAAUGACCUCUUUCAAACUGUGAUAUAAUGAGCUAGUGCUCUGGAUUGUGAGCAGAUGGCAGAGGUGCCUCAGGUGUCAUUUGCCUGACAUCAUGCAAGUCAUAUGUCACUGUGAGUGUGGUCAUACAAUCAUGUAAUUAACCAGCAGGUCUAGCUGGGGGUAUUUUCAAAGGGGCAAAGGAAUAGGUCAACACUUUUUGGAAAUGCAGCUAUAUAGCUAUCCGCAAGUUUAUGUUAGAGCUCAGCAUAAAAAUCUGUCUGUUCUACUGUUUUUACAUUUUGAUUUAAAAACAAGAUUCGCCAUGUCAAUCAGUGAGCUACCCUCGGACAGAGCCACACUGGCUGUUUCCCCCCCGUUUCCAGGUCUUCCUUGUAACUCAAUAAACUCAAGAUUCACUCGACAACAUUUCAUUUCAAAAGCAGAAACGUUGGUGUCAUGAGAAGGGGUUUUGUGGGACACAUUCCCCUUCUCGAGUUCUGGAGUCUCUGCAGUUUGUCUGACAACCUCCAGGUAUCCAGUGCCCCAAGCCAAGACAUAAUCCAGCACAUAACCCCGCCUAAUGAUAUCCUGACAUUAGCUUCAUAUUUACAAUAUAGACACGAGAACCGUAUCAAUCUUCUUAUCUAACUCUUGUUACUUCAAAGAUUCAUUUAAAUAACUUAUCCCGGGGUAUGAAGGAAGAAUGGAAAGGAAAAAUGUUUUAAAAAAAAAUAUUUGUAAGAGGGUGUAACACUCAUUUGUCUUCUUCGUGUUGGAUGUGUGUGUCCGAGCGUUUAUGCACAUGUAUUUGUAUAUAAGAUUUCCAAAAGCAUAUCCUCC